rnacentral:rRNA from 1 species
GAUGAACGCUGGCGGCGUGCCUAAUACAUGCAAGUCGAGCGAACGGACGAGAAGCUUGCUUUUCUGAUGUUAGCGGCGGACGGGUGAGUAACACGUGGAUAACCUACCUAUAAGACUGGGAUAACUUCGGGAAACCGGAGCUAAUACCGGAUAAUAUUUUGAACCGCAUGGUUCAAAAGUGAAAGACGGUCUUGCUGUCACUUAUAGAUGGAUCCGCGCUGCAUUAGCUAGUUGGUAAGGUAACGGCUUACCAAGGCAACGAUGCAUAGCCGACCUGAGAGGGUGAUCGGCCACACUGGAACUGAGACACGGUCCAGACUCCUACGGGAGGCAGCAGUAGGGAAUCUUCCGCAAUGGGCGAAAGCCUGACGGAGCAACGCCGCGUGAGUGAUGAAAGUCUUCGGAUCGUAAAACUCUGUUAUUAGGGAAGAACAUAUGUGUAAGUAACUGUGCACAUCUUGACGGUACCUAAUCAGAAAGCCACGGCUAACUAC